rnacentral:rRNA from 1 species
UACGGGGGGAGCAAGCGUUGUCCGGAUUUAUUGGGCGUAAAGAGCGUGUAGGCGGCCUGGUAGGUCAGCUGUGAAAACUCGAGGCUCAACCUCGAGACGCCGGUUGAAACCAUCAGGCUAGAGUCCGGAAGAGGAGAGUGGAAUUCCUGGUGUAGCGGUGAAAUGCGCAGAUAUCAGGAAGAACACCCGUGGCGAAGGCGGCUCUCUGGGACGGUACUGACGCUGAGACGCGAAAGCGUGGGGAGCGAACAGG